rnacentral:lncRNA from 1 species
AAAAAAAUUGAGUUAAACUCACAUAAACUUUUGAACUUUUUUUUAAAAGAAAUAAACUUAUUUCAUAUAAUUUUGAAAAAACAUUAACAAUAGUCCACGUGAACUUAACUUAAUAAAUGAACAUCACAUUAUAUAUACAGUAAUUAAUUGUAGCGUGCUUUCUAUUAGUCAUCCUUACUAACUUAGCGUCGGAGCACCUGCAAGUACACAACCUCUCUUCCAUUCACCGAAACGGAAGAGAAGUAUCAUUGGCGAAGUCAUCUCUGAUCCAUGUAGCUAUUAACCUAGGUGCUGCAAAAUUGUUUGCAGAUUCACCUUUUUUAGCUUUAGUGUAUAUAUAUCCGUCCUAACUAGCUUAUGCGCAUUAUUUUGAAAAUAAAAAAUGAAAAAAUUAUUGAAAAAUUUGAAGAUAAAAUUACAUAAAUACAAAAUUAUUGAAAAUACUACUAAAUGUUGCUGUUGGCACUUGGCAUCAUGGCAAGGGAUGAUUAAUUCUCGCCGAAUCAUUAUUAUCAGUUUUUCAUAGCAUGAAACUAUACACCUUACUCAACCAACCGAAACCUUUGCACGGUUUUUCAGCUUGUGUGGAACACGAACCAAACGACACCGUUACGCUAUCAUCUACACCAUCACUCUCUCCAAUGUUGUUCUU